UAAACAGUAUUUUGCAGCUAUUGAGGUUUGCUUACCAUGGUAAACCAUUUACAGUAUUGGUUUUAAUUUUCUUUCUACCCUGCCUUAAUUCUCAAAAGCUGUGCUAUUUUGGCUGAAUUAUAAGGCUGCCUAUGACAAUUGGAAUGAACAACAAAUGGCUUUACAUAAGGAUAUUCAUAUGUCAACAAAGGAAGUAGUAGAUAUGCUACCUGGUAUCCAGCAAACAUCAGCCCAGGCCUUUGGGACUCUCUUCCACCAGCUGACUGUGAAUGAUCUGGGAAUUUGCCUCCCUAUCACAAAUACUGCACAGUCUAAUCACACUGGAGACCUUGACACUGGUUCUGCUUUGGUAUUGACCAUUGAAAAUACUCUCAUCAUUGCUUAUUCUUCGGAGUCUCUGGUUAGCAAAGGACAUUUCAAAAACUUUUGUAUCCAUUUUGCUGAUGGCUUUGAGACAUCAUGGGAUGACUGGAAAUCUGAAAUUCGUGGAGAUCUUGUGACAAAUGCCUGUGAGUGUCUUUUAUUUUCUGUAUUGUGGUUUAGAAUUAAAAAAAAAAACCUUCAUUUGUAAAACUGAAGGAUAUACAGAUAUAGGACUAUGUUUACAUUUUAUGAAAUACAGGCUGUUUUUUCUACCUAAAGGUAAA
rnacentral:lncRNA from 1 species